CCUACGGGGGGCAGCAGUGAGGAAUAUUGGUCAAUGGCCGAGAGGCUGAACCAGCCAAGUCGCGUGAGGGAAGACGGCCCUACGGGUUGUAAACCUCUUUUGUCGGGGAGCAAAGCGAACCACGUGUGGUUCAUUGAGAGUACCCGAAGAAAAAGCAUCGGCUAACGCCGUGCCAGCAGCCGCGGUAAUACGGAGGAUGCGAGCGUUAUCCGGAUUUAUUGGGUUUAAAGGGGGCGCAGGCGGAGGUGCAAGUCAGCGGUCAAAUUGCGGGGCUCAACCCCGUACUGCCGUUGAAACUGCAUCCCUUGAGUGCGCGAGAGGUAUGCGGAAUGCGUGGUGUAGCGGUGAAAUGCAUAGAUAUCACGAAGAACUCCGAUGGCGAAGGCAGCAUACCGGCGCGCAACUGACGCUCAUGCACGAAAGCGUGGGUAGCGAACAGGAUUAGAUACCCCAGUAGUC
rnacentral:rRNA from 1 species